GACGAACGCUGGCGGCGUGCCUAAUACAUGCAAGUAGAACGAGUUGCGAACGGGUGAGUAACGCGUGGUAACCUGCCUCAUAGCGGGGGAUAACUACUGGAAACGGUAGCUAAUACCGCAUACCAUCAGAUGUGCCCAGAUGGGAUUAGCUUGUUGGUGGGGUAACGGCUCACCAAGGCGACGAUCCCUAGCUGGUCUGAGAGGAUGACCAGCGACUCCGGAACUGAGCCACGGUCCAGACUCCUACGGUAGGCAUCAGUGGGGAGUAUUGCACAAUGGGCGCAAGCCUGGUGCAGCCCGGCCGCGUGUAUGAAGAAGGCCUUCGGGUUGUAAAGUACUUUCAGCGGGGAGGCGUUACCCGCAGAAGAAGCACCGGCUAACUCCGUGCCAGCAGCCGCGGUAAUUC
rnacentral:rRNA from 1 species